GACGAACGCUGGCGGCGUGCCUAAUACAUGCAAGUUGAGCGAUGAAGAUUGGUGCUUGCACCAAUUUGAAGAGCAGCGAACGGGUGAGUAACGCGUGGGGAAUCUGCCUUUGAGCGGGGGACAACAUUUGGAAACGAAUGCUAAUACCGCAUAAUAACUUUAAACAUAAGUUUUAAGUUUGAAAGAUGCAAUUGCAUCACUCAAAGAUGAUCCCGCGUUGUAUUAGCUAGUUGGUGAGGUAAAGGCUCACCAAGGCGAUGAUACAUAGCCGACCUGAGAGGGUGAUCGGCCACAUUGGGACUGAGACACGGCCCAAACUCCUACGGGAGGCAGCAGUAGGGAAUCUUCGGCAAUGGACGAAAGUCUGACCGAGCAACGCCGCGUGAGUGAAGAAGGGUUUCGGAUCGUAAAACUCUGUUGGUAGAGAAGAACGUUGGUGAGAGUGGAAAGCUCAUCAAGUGACGGUAACUACCCAGAAAGGGACAGCUAACUACGUG
rnacentral:rRNA from 1 species